rnacentral:pre_miRNA from 1 species
UAAGUACUCCCUUCGUCCCGAAUUAGUUGUCUUAGAUUUGUCUAGAUAUGUGUUAGAUACAUCCGUAUCUAGACAAAUCUAAGACAAGUAAUUUGGGACGGAGGUAAUACAUU